UGACUUUUCGUUUCCCCCACACAGAGACAACAAUUUGACGGGUGAAAAUGUUGCUUAAAAGCUUAUAAGGUCGAACAACAAAAUGUUGUAAUCGAUAACACCUGCAGUUUUGCCAAAAAUUGGCCUUCAAAUUAUGUAAUUUUUACAUUAUAUCGUCGCCAUUUUUUCACGCAUUUCGAAGCUGCGUGUGCUCCUCGCGCAUACCACGA